GUAAAUCCAAAAUUAUAGUUGGAGAUUCCAGCACUUCUCUUGCAGGAGUUGAUAGAAGUAGCAAAAAAUAAAAAGUAUAGAGGUUUUGAAAAAUACUAUCAACCAACUUGACUCCAUUGACAGUCAUAGAACACUUCACCCAACAACAGGACACAUAUUAUUCCCUACGCAUAUGGAACAAUGAUCAUAUAAACCAUAAUUUGGGCCAUAAAACAAGUAUCAAUUACCCUAAGAAGUCUAAAAUAAUACAAAAUAUGUUCUCUGACCACUAUGGUAUUAAACUAUAAAUCAAUAAUUGAGAGAUCUUUGGAAAAUUCCCAAAUAUUUUACAAAUUAAGCAACAUACUUCCAUAUAACCCUGAGUCAAAAAAGAAAUCACAGGGAAAGUUAUGAAAUACUUUGAACCGAGCAAAAAUAGAAACAUAUCACAAUUUUGAGGAUGCUGCCAAAUCAGUGCUUAGAGGAAAAAACUAGAAAAGGAAGAACAAAAAAACCCAAAAUAAGCAGAAGGAAGGAAAUAAUAAGAAUAAGAAUAGAGACCAAUAGAAAACAAACAAAAAUAGAAGAAAAUCAAUGCAACUAAAAUCUGAUGUUUUGAAAAGAUUAAUGCAAUUGAUAAAACUCUAGCCAUAUUUACCAGGAAGAAAAGAGAGAAGACAAGCUAACAAUAUGAAGAAUAAGAGACUACAGACUCUACAGUGGGAAUAAUAUGAGAGAGCAAUAUGAAAAACCUUUAUGCCAAUAAAGUUGGUAAAUUAGAUGAAAUGGGCAAAUUCUUUAACAUACGUAACCUAUCGAUGCUCACUAAAGAAAAAAAAAGCUUUGAAUAUCCGUAAAUCUACUAAAGAAAUUGGAUUCAUAAUAUAAAAAACCUUUCCCUCAAAGAAAACUCCAGCCCCAGAUAGUUUAAUUGGUGAGUUCUGCCAAACAUUUAAGAAAAAAAAGAUACGGUUCUAUAAAAACUCUUUCAAAAAAUUGAAUAGUAAAGAACACUUCUCAAAUCAUUUUAUGAG
rnacentral:lncRNA from 1 species